CGGGCUAUAGCGCAGUUGGCUAGCGCGCUUGCAUGGGGUGCAAGAGGUCGUGGGUUCAAAUCCCACUAGCCCGACCA
rnacentral:tRNA from 1 species